rnacentral:lncRNA from 1 species
CAGGGGCGGCGGGGGCGGCGCCGCUCGGGCCUCUCCUCUCCGCUCGCCGUGCGCUGCGCCCGCCGCGCCCGCUCUUCUGUGCCCCGCGCGCUCCGCGCUGCUCGCCGCCCGCUUGUCCGCUCGUGUGCUCGCCGGCGCGGCCGCCCGGCCAGCGGCUCAGGCUCUACCACCUCUCCUGCUGGCUGCUCGCUCUGUGCCGCGCUCGCUGCGCUCCCCGCCUCCCCCGCCCGCCGGCCGGCCGCCCGCCCGCCCCCUCCGCGCCCCCCCUUCCCGCCGCCGGCCCCUGAGCUGCCGCCCCAAGCCCGCCGGAGCUCCUGCUCCCCUUCAGCCCCGAUUCCCCUUUUCCCCAGGGUCUCUCUUCUCCCCCAGCCCCACGUUCGAAGCCACCAGGACCAAAGUAAGGGUGGCUUGGGGGUGGAGCCCUUCCUUCACCGCGCCCUUUGGCCCAGCUGCCCCCACGUUCCCCCUCCAACCUGGAGCUGAGAGCUGGGAACUGAGGACCGGAGACCCAGAAAGGUAGCUACACUGAGCAACAGUAACUAUCAUGGUGACAGUCUGGAAUCUACAUGUGAAGUUUCCAACUAUAAGGGCAUGGCCAGGAAAACAAUGCAACACAAAUACGAAGGAACCUUCUACAGCCAUGAGCAUGGCUACGAUAUGGACCCUGACAACACAGGCAAGAGAAGUAAGUAAGUGCUAUGAGCUGAAUGUUUGUCUCUCCCCAGAGUUCAUAUCACCAAUGUGAAGGUGUCCAGGGGUGAAGCCUUUGGGAGAUGAUUAGGUCAAAAGGACAGGACCCUCAUGAUGAGACUGUGUCCUUAUGAAAGGGAUCCCAGAGAGACCCCUUGCCCAUGUGAGAAUACUGCAGGAAGGCACUGUCUAUGAACCAGGAUGAGGGCUCUCACCAGACUGAGUUUGACAGUGCUUUGAUUUUGGAUUUCUAAAAUCCAGAACCAUGAGAA